UUAUAAGGAAGAACACCUUGUCUUAAACCCAUACCAAUACACAGAAGGUAUAAAGGCCGGAACAGGAAAUUGCGCUGUUGACAAAUAUCAUGAAUGGAUGCUCCACCAAACCGAGACUGAGGUUGAUUUACGUAGAAAACGGAUUAACUACAGCCAUAGGGAAAACCACAACAAGUAUUCUUCAGAGAUCAACGAUCCCACGAC